rnacentral:tRNA from 1 species
GCCCUUUUAACUAAGCGGUAGAGUCACGCUCUUGAAAGGCGUAAGUCAUCGGUUAAAAUCCGAUAAAGGGCU